ACUAAAUUAGAUGUGACACCCCAGCCCAGAAAAAUGGGGAUAAGCCCAUGCUUAAAAAAAUGUAAUUUUGAAGCUGGGCAUCAGGAGUAAGAAGGGUGAAAACGUCGUCAUUUUGGAAAACUCCAAAACGACAUCAUUUUGAUGAAGGAAAUAGGAAAAAAAGAGGGCAACUAGAGCUGUGUAUGCUUCUGGUAGCCAAAGAAGAAGAAGGAAGAAGAAGGAAGAAGAGGCAUGUAGGGCUCUUUGUCUUUCUACCUAUAAAAAAAAGAAGAAAUUGAGAAGAAGGAAGAAAAAUAGAGUCAAAUUAGUAUAGAGAGUCACGAAGAGAGAGAAAGAAACUCGGGGAGAGAGAGAGAGAGAUAGCAGGAGGGAACAAACUAUAUCGACAGCAAGCCAGGUUUAUUACGUACAGUGUGCUGUAUGAUAGAGAGGCCCAUAACUAGAAAGCUAGAGAGAGAGAAUGCAUAACAAUGCGUGUAGAAAAGAAAGAGAACAACGACAUUGGCCAGGCAUGGUUCCAUGCAUCCACACCUUUCUCUAGUGUGAUUGUGCCAUAUUCGAGCCGGAUCUGUGUGCGCGGCUCGUUCUGUGAUGAUUUAUAGCCAAAGCAUGGCGGUGCGUGGGUGGUUCUGGUGGCACGUGCUUGUUCCAACAGCCGAGCAUGAGGUGGCAUGCGACGCUCCGACGACAGCGCAUGGUGAAUGAGGGACACAUGUAUGGUGGUGUGUUGCGAUUCCGUUGACCAAAAUCAUGCUACGAUAAAACUCGAUCCCACUUUUAUAUUCUAAU
rnacentral:lncRNA from 1 species